AAUUGUGAUUGGCAAGAGUCUAAGAAAUAUCUCAACCUCCUUUGUGUAUGUCUAACUCUAUCCAUUAUAACUGUAAGCUUCAUUUUUCAGCGCCACGUCUGUGUUGCCUUUGUUGGUCAGACUUAGAACACCGGCGCAAGCUAUUGCAAGCUGCAAUAGCAUCUUCUAAUGAAGUUUGGCAGUAUGUCACCACUGUGUGACGUUACGAGAUUUAUCUAGCCGAGGCUAUGCAACUAAUAGUCAGCAUAGCCUGGGCUUGCAGCUAACCACUCCAUCAUUAUUAACACUGCAAGAAGGUUAAUAAUGACUCUUUUCUUAGUUUAGUUAAGUUUAGUUUAGUUAAGUUUAAUCACUGGGUUUUGGGUUCUAAAUUGAAUGGGGUAGC
rfam:Wigeon coronavirus HKT20, complete genome